CAAGUCGAGCGGAUGAAGAGAGCUUGCUCUCUGAUUCAGCGGCGGACGGGUGAGUAAUGCCUAGGAAUCUGCCUGGUAGUGGGGGACAACGUUUCGAAAGGAACGCUAAUACCGCAUACGUCCUACGGGAGAAAGCAGGGGACCUUCGGGCCUUGCGCUAUCAGAUGAGCCUAGGUCGGAUUAGCUAGUUGGUGAGGUAAUGGCUCACCAAGGCGACGAUCCGUAACUGGUCUGAGAGGAUGAUCAGUCACACUGGAACUGAGACACGGUCCAGACUCCUACGGGAGGCAGCAGUGGGGAAUAUUGGACAAUGGGCGAAAGCCUGAUCCAGCCAUGCCGCGUGUGUGAAGAAGGUCUUCGGAUUGUAAAGCACUUUAAGUUGGGAGGAAGGGCAGUUACCUAAUACGUGAUUGUUUUGACGUUACCGACAGAAUAAGCACCGGCUAACUCUGUGCCAGCAGCCGCGGUAAU
rnacentral:rRNA from 1 species